ACUAGAUGGUACAGGGCUCCUAAGCUGUGUGGAUCUUUCUUUAGUAAGUAUUCACCGGCUAUCGAUAUGUGGAGCAUCGGUUGCAUUUUUGCAGAGAUUUUGACUGGGAAGCCUUUAUUCCCUGGUAAAAAUGUGGUUCACCAGUUGGAUUUGAUGACUGAUCUCCUGGGUACACCAUCAGCAGAUACUAUUUCACAGAUUCGGAAUGAGAAGGCAAGGAGGUAUCUAAGCAGCAUGAGGAGGAAACAACCAAUACC